GUAAGUAUAAAUAAUUCUACUUUGAAACUGCGAAUGGCUCAUUAUAUCAGUUAUAGUUUAUUAGAAAUAGUUUUCUACUUGGAUAACCGUAGUAAUUCUAGGGCUAAUACAUGAGUAAAUCCUCGACUUUUGAAGAGGUGUGUUUAUUAGUAUGAAAACCAUAUGCUUUUGCAUGAUAGUGAGUAAUAAUAACCUUUCAUAUCGCCUGUUUUUAAUAGCGAUAGUUCUUUCAAGUUUCUGCCCUAUCAGCUUUCGAUGGUAGUGUAUUGGACUACCAUGGCAGUAACGGGUAACGAAGAAUUUGGGUUCGAUUUCGGAGAGGGAGCCUGAGAGAUGGCUACCACAUCCAAGGAAGGCAGCAGGCGCGUAAAUUACCCAAUCCUGACAUAGGGAGGUAGUGACAAUAAAUCACAAUGCGGGACUUUUUAGUUUUGCAAUUGGAUUGAGAACAAUGUACAAGAGUUAUCGAUAAACAAUUGGAGGGCAAGUCUGGUGCCAGCAGCCGCGGUAAUUCCAGCUCCCA
rnacentral:rRNA from 1 species